CUUGGCGACCAUAGCGCUUUGGACCCACCUGACUCCAUGCCGAACUCAGUAGUGAAACGAAGCAGCGCCGAUGGURGUGUGGGGUCUCCCCAUGUGAGAGUAGGACAUCGCCAGGC
rnacentral:rRNA from 1 species